rnacentral:ncRNA from 2 species
ACGUGAGAUAGAGGUUGCAGCACUUAUGAUUAUUCUAAAGGAGACACAGAGAUGUCAAUGAGUUUAGAGGAAAGGAAGUGUUGCCGAAAUCGAUAAAUUUCUCUGCAUUUAUCGAUUGGGGCUGUUUUCGAAUAGAAACAGAACUGUCAUAUAUACAGACGUGUAUAUAUGAAGAGCUAUCUACAAA